AUUGAACGCUGGCGGCAGGCCUAACACAUGCAAGUCGAACGCGUGGCGGACGGGUGAGUAAUUUCUGGGAAACUGCCUGAUGGAUGGGGAUAACUACUGGAAACGGUCGCUAAUACCGCAUACCAUCAUCUGUUCCCAGAUGGGAUUAGCUUGUUGGUGGGGUAACGGCUCACCAAGGCGACGAUCCCUCGCUGGUCUGAGAGGAUGACCAGCCACACUGGAACUGAGACACGGGCCAGACUCCUACGGGAGGCAGCAGUGGUGAAUAUUGCACAAUGGGCGCAAGCCGGAUGCAGCCAUGCCGCGUGUAUGAAGAAGGCCUUCGGGUUGUAAAGUACUUUCAGCGGGGAGGCGUUAAACGAAGAAGAAGCACCGGCUAACUCCGUGCCAGCAGCCGCGGUAAUUG
rnacentral:rRNA from 1 species